GACGAACGCUGGCGGCGUGCUUAACACAUGCAAGUCGAACGAAGUGGCGCACGGGUGAGUAACGCGUAAUCAACCUGCACUUCAGAGGGGGACAACAGAUGGAAACGCGUGCUAAUCCCGCAUACUGAUGGCGGUGAUUGCGUCUGAUUGGCUAGUGGGAGGGGUAACGGCCCACUAAGGCGAUGAUCAGUAGGCGGUCUGGGGAGAUGAACGGCCACAUUGGGACUGAUACACGGCCCAGACUUCUGAGGGAGGCAGCGGGGGGGAAUCUUCCGCAAUGGACGAAAGUCUGACGUAGCAACGCCGCGUGAGUGAUGACGGCCUUCGGGUUGUAAAGCUCUGUUAAUCGGGGCGCGGUACCGGAAUAGAAAGCCACGGCUAACUACGUGCCAGCAGCCGCGGUAAUAC
rnacentral:rRNA from 1 species